GGGAGUGGGAAGCUGGAGGCAGCCCAGACCUCCUGGAGCCCUGCAGUCCUGGGGCAGAGACAGAAUCAGGACACAGCUCGAGAUGACAAGAACUAUGCAACUAACCCAGAGAUGACACAGAGAUGAAUGAGAUGUGGCUCCUGUCAUCAAGGAGCUUGUGAUUCAAUGGGGAACUAACAUGUAGAUGCAUGGGCAGUUAGGGACAUGCAAGAAUCUUUAUAGUGCAACAAGAGAGAAGUUACAAGGCAGCACGGAAGUCAAGGCCAGUGAACCCAGAUGGCCUGGAAUUACUCUCACUUCCACCACCCGAUGUAUGGAAACUGCUAUACUUUCAAUGACAAGAACAACUCCAACCUCUGGAUGUCUUCCAUGCCUGGAAUCAACAAUGGUCUGUCCCUGAUGCUGCGCACAGAGCAGAAUGACUUCAUUCCCCUGCUGUCCACAGUGACUGGGGCCCGUGUAAUGGUGCACGGGCAGGAUGAACCUGCCUUUAUGGAUGAUGGUGGCUUUAACUUGCGGCCUGGCGUGGAGACCUCCAUCAGCAUGAGGAAGGAAGCCCUGGACAGACUUGGGGGUGAUUAUGGCGACUGCACCAAGAAUGGCAGUGAUGUCCCUGUCAAGAACCUUUACCCUUCAAAGUACACACAGCAGGUGUGUAUUCACUCCUGCUUCCAGGAGAGCAUGAUCAAGGAGUGUGGCUGUGCCUACAUCUUCUAUCCGCGGCCCCAGAACGUGGAGUACUGUGACUACAGAAAGCACAGUUCGUGGGGU
rnacentral:sRNA from 1 species